UUUUUAUAUGAACGGAUAAGUAAAUUGAAUUCACAACUUAUGAAUCACAACUGGAUGUAAUCAAAUCAUUGCAAGUAUGAACAUGGUUUCGAAUCACCCCCUAACUAAGAGGGGUUUAGUUCCUCAUACUCACAAAGAAAAGAUACAUAAAAUUAGACAUUAAAAUCAAAGGAAAGAAACACCUAAAAUGCUCCAACUUGGGUAGCAAGUGCAU
rnacentral:lncRNA from 1 species